rnacentral:rRNA from 1 species
AACGAACGCUGGCGGCAUGCCUAACACAUGCAAGUCGAACGAGACCUUCGGGUCUAGUGGCGCACGGGUGCGUAACGCGUGGGAACCUGCACUUAGGUUCGGAAUAACUCCCCGAAAGGGGUGCUAAUACCGGAUAAUGUCUUCGGACCAAAGAUUUAUCGCCGUUGGAUGGGCCCGCGUUGGAUUAGCUAGUUGGUAGGGUAAAAGCCUACCAAGGCGACGAUCCAUAGCUGGUCUGAGAGGAUGAUCAGCCACACUGGGACUGAGACACGGCCCAGACUCCGACGGGAGGCAGCAGUGGGGAAUAUUGGACAAGGGGCGAAAGCCUGAUCCAGCAAUGCCGCGUGAGUGAUGAAGGCCGUAGGGUUGUAAAGCUCUUUUACCCGGGAUGAUAAUGACAGUACCGGGAGAAUAAGCACCGGCUAACUCCGUG